rnacentral:tRNA from 1 species
GGAGAGAUGGCCGAGUGGCUGAAGGCGCUGGUUUGCUAAACCGGUUUACGGUCAAAAGCCGUAACGGGGGUUCGAAUCCCCCUCUCUCCGCCA